GUGCUCACUUGGGCAGCACACAUACUAAAACUGGAAUGAUACAGAGAUUAGCAUGACCCCUGCGCAAGGAUGACAUGCAAAUUCAUGAAGCGUUCCAUAUUUUU
ensembl:snRNA U6 U6 spliceosomal RNA